rnacentral:rRNA from 1 species
UACCAGCACCCCGAGUGGUCGGGACGAUUAUUGGGCCUAAAGCAUCCGUAGCCGGUCAUGCAAGUCCUCCGUUAAAUCCACCUGCUUAACAGAUGGGCUGCGGAGGAUACUACAAGGCUAGGAGGCGGAAGAGGCAAGCGGUACUCAGUGGGUAGGGGUAAAAUCCUCUGAUCCAUUGAAGAACCACCAGUGGCGAAGGCUGG